rnacentral:lncRNA from 1 species
CCUCCUGCUCCUUAAACAAAAGAACCUUUAGGGCAAUUGUCUAAAAGGAAACAACAUACCAGAAAUACAAUUCCUGGGUUAAAGCAAGCAAAGCUGCUUUUCUAAUAACUCCCAUUUUCUAUGCAUACCCUGGGUCCAGCAUUCCAUCUUCCAGGUAUGGUUAGAAAAGAGAUCAGACCUUAGUGACUGCUGGUGAAGUGAAUUGCAUGCUGCAGCCCCUCAUCAGCAUCUUUGUACAGCUCAGUUUCGUGUUUUCUGCAGAAUCAGGAGCUGACAAUCAAAAUGGCCCCUCACUCACAUUCAUUGGUCAGAC